GUGUGCUAUGCAGGAUAGGGUGGUCUCUUGUUUCAUUGACAUUUGCUCAAGCCAAUCGUGCUUUCCUUCUUCCCGUCACAGGCAAGAAGGAAAAACCCAGAAAGUCCGAUAUCCAAAAUGCUGUGGAAUAUUUGAGAUCGACCAAAGGAUCUUUUCACCGAUUAUCAUCAUCAUCCAUUUGGAGAUCUGGGAUCAGAUAAGGGUCAUAAAGUGAGCUUUACACAUGCCAUGUCACAUUUUCCAUGGGGUCAGUGUGUGGGGGGAAGUCGACUCAGCACAUGAAGUCAGUCAAAGACCCAAACAGACAGUUCUCUCCAUCCUUCUCCACUUUCAUGGAUGACGUGGCUGCAGACACCAGUUUUCUUGACCUUCCUGCACUGAGUGACACACACCUCCAGUAGGAGGAAGAAGAAAAAAACACGGUAAUGACACGUGUGGCGAGCCAAAGA